UAAGGAAUCUUCCACAAUGGACGAAAGUCUGAUGGAGCAACACCGCGUGAUCGAUGAAGCCUUUAGGGGUGUAAAGAUCUUUUCUGAGAGAAGAACUCUGACGGUAUCUUAGGAAUAAGCACCGGCUAACUCCGUGCCAGCAGCCGCGGUAAUACGGAGGGUGCAAGCGUUACCCGGAAUCAUUGGGCGUAAAGCGUCCGCAGGCGGUUUGUUAAGUAAGAUGUUAAAUUUUCCAGCUCAACUAGAAAUCUAUGGCUUAAACUGGCAAACUAGAGUAUUACAGAGGUGUGCAGAAUUCUGUGUGUAGGGGUAAAAUCCGUAGAUACACAGAGGAAUACCAAAAGCGAAGGCAGCACACUGGGUAAUUACUGACGCUCAGGGACGAAAGCGUGGGGAGCGAACG
rnacentral:rRNA from 1 species